UACGAAGGGGGCUAGCGUUGCUCGGAAUGACUGGGCGUAAAGGGCGCGUAGGCGGAUGGCACAGUCAGAUGUGAAAUUCCCGGGCUUAACCUGGGGGCUGCAUUUGAUACGUGUUGUCUUGAGUUCGGAAGAGGGUCGUGGAAUUCCCAGUGUAGAGGUGAAAUUCGUAGAUAUUGGGAAGAACACCUGUGGCGAAAGCGGCUCACUGGACCAUAACUGACGCUGAGGCGCGAAAGCUAGGGGAGCAAACAGG
rnacentral:rRNA from 1 species